rnacentral:lncRNA from 10 species
GGGCCCACACAUUCCUCCAUCUGCCAAGCCUUUAAAUUUAGGCACCAGAGAUCACCUGCAAAAUGCAAGCAUGUUAUCGGGAGGGGCAAUACAAUAAUACCUACCAUCUGGUGUUGUUAGUUAUCAAGUCACUGGUCUGUCUCCUAAGCGUAGCUCUGAGAUAAGGGGAAAGAAGGAAGAGAUCUGAGGAGGCAAUGCUGUUCUGGCCCACCUGGGGGAGAACCAUGAAGUCCACCUCUGAGCAGCCAGCAUCCCAGGAGGGAAAAGGAAGCCAGAGGGACCAUGUGGGAGCCAGGGGGACCACACUGACUUCACAAGGUUGCUACGAGGCUGCAAUUACCCAUGUGGCAGAUCCACUUGGAAUGAUGCUGCACCAUGAAUACUGGCUUUCAAUGACUUUCUCAAAAGUUGUUGCUGUGCUUCAUUGUUGAUGACCAAAAAUGCAAGUCUUAUCCAGAGUAUGCAAGAAAAUGUGAACAAUAAUUUGUUUUCUGAUUAUGUUGAAUUUACUGUUUAUAAUCUGAACAUAGAGCAUGUCUUCCAACUCUAUCUUCUCUUAAACUCUAUGCUGUAAUUACUACAUUCCUAGACAGUGAUUCUUUUCAUGUUAACUGCACUCCUGCCUUCCACUCACUGCCACCAGUGGAGAGGACUAAAUGAAUGAGAAGAGCAGCCUCAUUGGCACAAGGAACAUCUCUCAUCAGGAAUGGCUUCAACUGAUCCAGGAGUGCUUGAUAUCCCCACAUCUGUGGAGGCAGGGGAGGACAUCAAUUGGAAAAGCCCCUUGCUGUUUCAGAGCAAAGAUCUUGAAAGCACCAGGUAGAGAAAGAUGUAGCCAUUGUCAAAAGACUGCCUGUUAGAUGAAUGGGACAGUGGGAUGACCACCCUGGGUUCAGUGGUAAAGUCAAAUGGAGUAAAGGAUGCCUGUUGCCACCCCAGCUGCACUUGGGUGCUGAAGAUCAGAAGUGAAACUACAGAACAAAUCCAGAUGAGAGCUCACCUAGGGGCUCACACAUAUAGUUCAGGCCAAGGUUCAGUGAUGGACCAUCAUCAGUACUCAGAGCACUGAACUUGUCCUGGGUGUGAUGUAUUUGAGAGUCACUUAAAAUCAUCAUAUCGCUGCCAUUUUGGCCACCCAAUCUCAUAGGAUUCUGUGAAAUAAAUAUGGCACUGGGCAGCAGGAGCAAUUCACUUGUCAGGAAUCCCUCCUGGAAUCAGGGCUUGGCCAAGGACUUCAAGCCAACCACCCAAGGCAUGAAUCCCAGAACUCCUGGGGGCAUCUGGCAACUUCAUGUGCAGAAUAUAUCUUCUCUGACCUAGUGUGGCUGAUGAUGAGAGGUCUGAUGCUGGUUGAAGUUCUUGGUUUUCACAGGUAUCUUUUACAUUUCUAUCUUUCCUGCUAAACCUUCUCAGUAUCUUCUAUUAUGGAUGUAUUGAAGUUUUAUAGUGAUGGGUCUAGAUGUGUGUGUGUAUGUCUGCAUGUGUAUGCACAUAUGUGAGUUGUCAACUUGAGCACUUGGGUACUUGAUUGGCUUCUUAAUUUGGAUACUCAUGUCCUUUGACUCUGGGACAAUCCUUUGCGAUAAUUCUUUGAUUUCUUUCUUUUUGUUUUUCUCUUUUUGUCACUCCUAUUGAUCAGAUGUGGGGCCUCUUGGACUGAUCCUCAACACAUCUUACCUUUCUCAUUUUCUUACAUCUUCUUGCCUUUGUUCUACAACAUUGGUUUUAUUAUAUUUUACCUACUAUUAGAAUUUCGGGCUCAUAUAUUUAUUUUUCAAUAGUUUUUCCUUGUUAGCUAGUUGUACUUUGUUGAUGCAAUAUUUUUUUUUACUACUCUUUCUAAGAAUAUUUAUUAAAGAGUUUUUAAAGGUUAAAUUGUGUUUCCAAAUUAUUUCUCUUCUUUCCAACGUUGCAUAUGCUGCUUGUUAAUCUUGGUUUCUCUCUUUUGGGUUGUAGAUGUUCCUCAGAGAUCUUUGGGUGUUACAUCACAUUUAAGAGCCAGACAAU